rnacentral:rRNA from 1 species
CCUACGGGAGGCAGCAGUGAGGAAUAUUGGUCAAUGGGCGCUAGCCUGAACCAGCCAAGUAGCGUGAAGGAUGACUGCCCUAUGGGUUGUAAACUUCUUUUAUAUAGGAAUAAAGUGCAGCAUGUAUACUGCUUUGCAUGUACCUUAUGAAUAAGGAUUGGCUAACUCCGUGCCAGCAGCCGCGGUAAUACGGAGGAUCCGAGCGUUAUCCGGAUUUAUUGGGUUUAAAGGGAGCGUAGACGGGUUGUUAAGUCAGUUGUGAAAGUUUGCGGCUCAACCGUAAAAUUGCAGUUGAUACUGGCAGCCUUGAGUACAGUAGAGGUAGGCGGAAUUCGUGGUGUAGCGGUGAAAUGCUUAGAUAUCACGAAGAACUCCGAUUGCGAAGGCAGCCUGCUGAACUGUAACUGACGCUGAUGCUCGAAAGUGUGGGUAUCAAACAGGAUUAGAUACCCGAGUAGUC